rnacentral:rRNA from 1 species
UACGAAGGGGGCUAGCGUUGUUCGGAAUUACUGGGCGUAAAGCGCGCGUAGGCGGACGUUUAAGUCAGGGGUGAAAUCCCAGGGCUCAACCCUGGAACUGCCUUUGAUACUGAAUGUCUGGAGUUCGGGAGAGGUGAGUGGAAUUCCGAGUGUAGAGGUGAAAUUCGUAGAUAUUCGGAGGAACACCAGAAGCGAAGGCGGCUCACUGGCCCGAUACUGACGCUGAGGCGCGAAAGCGUGGGGAGCAAACAGG